rnacentral:rRNA from 1 species
GUUGUAUAGUCAAGUAAUUAAGUGCAUGUGGUGGAUGCUUGGCAGUCAGAGGCGAUGAAAGACGUGAUAGCCUGCGAAAAGCUCCGGGGAGGCGGCAAAUAUCCUUUGAUCCGGAGAUGUCUGAAUGGGGGAACCCACCUACUUUAAGGUAGGUAUUGCAACAUGAAUACAUAGUGUUGCAAGGCGAACGAGGGGAAGUGAAACAUCUCAGUACCCUUAGGAAAAGAAAUCAAUUG